rnacentral:tRNA from 1 species
GGGUGUGACAGAACAAUGGCGUUCUAGCGGGCUGUAACCCCGUGGGCUUCGGCCGGGUAGGUUCGAUCCCUACUGCACCCACCA